rnacentral:rRNA from 1 species
GUGGGGAAUCUUAGACAAUGGGGGAAACCCUGAUCUAGCCAUGCCGCGUGAGCGAUGAAGGCCUUAGGGUUGUAAAGCUCUUUCAGAGGGGAAGAUAAUGACGGUACCCUCAGAAGAAGCCCCGGCUAACUCCGUGCCAGCAGCCGCGGUAAUACGGAGGGGGCUAGCGUUGUUCGGAAUUACUGGGCGUAAAGCGCACGUAGGCGGACCAGAAAGUCAGGGGUGAAAUCCCGGGGCUCAACCCCGGAACUGCCUUUGAAACUCCUGGGCUUGAGGUCGAGAGAGGUGAGUGGAAUUCCGAGUGUAGAGGUGAAAUACGUAGAUAUUCGGAGGAACACCAGUGGCGAAGGCGGCUCACUGGCUCGAUACUGACGCUGAGGUGCGAAAGCGUGGGGAGCAAACAGGAUUAGAAACCCGGGUAGUCC